rnacentral:rRNA from 1 species
UCCUGGCUCAGGAUGAACGCUGGCGGCGUGCCUAACACAUGCAAGUCGAACGAAGCGCUUUGAAGUUUUCGGACAGAUGAGUGACUGAGUGGCGGACGGGUGAGUAACGCGUGGGUAACCUGCCUCAUACAGGGGGAUAACAGUUAGAAAUGACUGCUAAUACCGCAUAAGCGCACAGUAUCGCAUGAUACAGUGUGAAAAACUCCGGUGGUAUGAGAUGGACCUGCGUCUGAUUAGCUAGUUGGUGAGGUAACGGCCCACCAAGGCGACGAUCAGUAGCCGACCUGAGAGGGUGACCGGCCACAUUGGGACUGAGACACGGCCCAAACUCCUACGGGAGGCAGCAGUGGGGAAUAUUGCACAAUGGGGGAAACCCUGAUGCAGCGACGCCGCGUGAGUGAAGAAGUAUUUCGGUAUGUAAAGCUCUAUCAGCAGGGAAGAAAAUGACGGUACCUGACUAAGAAGCCCCGGCUAACUACGUG